rnacentral:rRNA from 1 species
GAUCCUGGCUCAGGAUGAACGCUAGCUACAGGCUUAACACAUGCAAGUCGAGGGCAGCAUCAUCAAAGCUUGCUUUGAUGGAUGGCGACCGGCGCACGGGUGAGUAACACGUAUCCAACCUGCCGACAACGACUGGGAUAGCCUUUCGAAAGAAAGAUUAAUACCGGAUGGCAUAGUUUUCCCGCAUGGGAUAAUUAUUAAAAGAAUUUCGGUUGUCGAUGGGGAUGCGUUCCAUUAGG